rnacentral:lncRNA from 1 species
CCUUUAUACCUUACAACAUCCCAUGGCUUCAUCUGGUUUGUGGUUGUGGUUUUGACCAAACCAUGCUCUUGGUUUUCUUGCCAACUUUAUUAAAAAUAAGCCUCUUCCAGAAGGUAUUAUCUCCUUCACUCCAUUGUUUCUCUUCUGGGUAUGGCUUUAGUAUUCACGGAUUUAGUUUGUAAAAAUACAUACCAUUUAACACUUUUCUUGGUUCUGAUACCUCUUGGUUCAAGAUGGUGGCCUGAGAACAUUUAUAUGCCUCCUGGCUCUUAAAAAAUAUCACUAGAAUGAAAAUAAAUGUAUACAAAAGUGAAUAAACCCAUAAUAGCAAGAUAAUAGGAGUAAGGGCCAACAGUGAACUAAGGCUAUUAAUACAAUUCUGGCAGACAAAAAGCAGAUGUGUGUGGUGACAAGGGAGACAAAGCAGAAAUAACUACAAGCCAGAAUAACAGAGACUCUGUUUAAAAAGCCAUAUCUGGGGCAAUUUUCUGGGGGCUCCAGGAAGAGGCGCCGCAUAGCGUCAGCAAGGACUCAAAAGGAGCACUUCCCAGUGAAGCAAAAGAGUGGCGUAAUAAUUGGAGAACCCUCACGACGUGUCAGCCCCACCACGGCCCCAUAAAUGUAGCAUGAGUGCGAGCUUGAAAUUUGUAACAUGAGAUGAAAACUGGAGAAGCAUCCCUAAAAUAUAUGAACCAAUCUGCCUAGAAAUAGCUAGGAAUCUGCCACCAGAAAGAUGAAUAAAAUAAAAGAUUGAAGAAGUAGCAAGUAGCAGUAUGGAAGA